AGAUAUUGUUCGAGCGCUUUCUGGUUAACCUGGCCCAACUGGCUGAGGCGGGUAUUUGUCGCCUCCAGACGUUGCAUGAGCGUUGUCAGCGGCACAUGGGCGAGCUCGUGAUGUUGGGCGGGAGCAGGUCCGAGUUCCCGCAGUUUGCGCUCGGUCUCCGCUUUGCGUUGCUGGAGAUGCGUAUGACGUGCGACGUGGAUUUGUAGGCGCUGGCUUUCGGUGGCGAGGGCCUCCUUGGCUACGGGAAGUUGUGCCUCCAGUGAGUCACGCUUUCGAGCGAGGGCGUCAAGUUCGGUGGCUGUGCGCUGAAGCGCCUCAGCGAUGCGAUCCUGCGAGACUCGCUGGGCCUGGAGCACGCUGCCAAGCGUCUCGAGCUCUCUACGCAAGCUCGUCUGACGUGUUUGUAGCUCCGCUAUAGACGGAGGCGCUUCAUCCGGAUCGCUCUGCAACGCGACUGGCACAGAGAUGCCGGACGCUGAAUCGAAGAGCUCCGGUGCAUCCUCGAAAGUCUCGCGAAGAAAACGUUUCUCCAGCUCCCGCAACUGACGCUCGAUGCACGUUUCCAACUCGCUUUCAAUCUCGACGAGACGCUGCUCGAGGGUAGCACGUGCUGCAGCGACUGAUUCUAGCUCUUUUUCGAGUGCAGCAAGCCGGGCAACGAAGGCAUCUGCAGAAAUCGCUGUCUGCGGUGUAGGUGAUGACGAUGAGGAUGAGAGUGCUGCGGUCCGUUCCGAAAACUCAUCGCGCAAGCUGCUGAGCACCAGUUCAUAUUCGUGAACAUGUCGCUGCAGGGUUUGCAUGCGCUGCCGUUCAGUCUCGAGCGCAGCCUCAAUGGAGAGCUUCUCACGAUCCAGUUGGGUGAGCGCACGUUGAUGGUCGCGCAACUGAUUGAAUAGGUUGCGCUUUUCAGCUUCGGAUUUCUGGAGUUCGUUCAUCGUCCGCUGAAUCUGCGAUUCCAGUGCGGCAAGUUGUGCUCGGAUUUGCUCACGCUCGGACUCAAUCUGUUGAAUUUGGAUGCGGAUCUUGUCGUAACGCAGCAGCGAGGCAAGUCGAGACUGGCGCCGAUCCGUGUAUCCACCGUGCAUUGCCCCGCGUUUGUUCACAAGGUCGCCCUCUAGGGUCACGCAAGGCACAUUGUACCCGCGAGCCAGUUUCGAUGCGAUUAAUAUGGAGCGAGCAAUGAGCGUUCCAGCCACCACGCGCUCAAAUACAGGGCUGAAGCGCUCAUCGCGUAGGCGCAGCCGCGAAACCAACGGAACAGCCUCUUCGGUGGGUGGCGGGCUCAUAGAGUUGCGCUUCGCGGCGUCUGAUGCAUCGUCUCGUACCCGGUUCAGAGGAAUGAAGGUUAACCGGCCUGCAUUGGCUUCGCGUAGCCUUUGAAUGAGAUAUGCCGCGGUUUCAUCGGUAUCUACAACGAUGUAGCAGAGCGCCGACCCCAUUGCAGCCUCGACGGCGACGUAAAACUUUUCAUCCGUCUCGAAGAGCGUAUAGAGUGGGCCGUAGAUCGUACCGCUGUACUGCAGGUUGCAGAUAUACUGAUACGCGUUGAGAAACUUGCUUCCGACCGACAUGCGUUUGCGGCGCUCGCUCUCCGUGAGUUCGGAUAGCAACGUAGCACGCGAGCUCUCGAGUUCUGCUUCUCGACGCCAUAGUUCCUGACGUGCUCGAUGCGCUUCGUUGCGCUCACGUUUUAACUCGGCUAGACGCGCAUUCAACGCGUUCAACUGUUCACGAUCCGAGGCAAAUUGGGUUUCAUUAGUUUUGCGACGCUCGGCUAUACUCGAUAGCUCAAAUUCAAGACGAUGAAUUUCUCGUUCCGUUUCCUGCAACUGGGAUCGCGUUUCAUGUCGCAGCUCUUCGUUCCGUGCAAUCUCGUUA